rnacentral:lncRNA from 1 species
AUGGGAGAGCAGAGGGAGGGACUGAGAGGGAGGAGCGAAGAUAUAGAAUUUAGUAAUGAUAAUAUUUGCCCUUCCUCCCUCACAGAAUUAAAUGCAAUGACUAAUGUGCAAUUUACCCUGCAAAUAUACUUUUCUGUUGCUAGUAUUCUCCUUUCCUGUUCGGAAGCAACCUAUCCCAUGGACAUUCCUUUCUGCCCCACAGGUUCUACUUGGUGGCGAGGAAGUGUUCCUAGCACGUGGAGUCUUGCAUCUGGCAGCACAGGUUUUAUCUUUACCAAUGAAGCACUUGAAACACUUUGCUGAGUCUUCACAACUGCUUUAGGAAUCAGAGACCCAAAGUUUCAGGAACCAUCAGGAAGGCUGGACUGAAUAAGGGAAGGAGGAAGAAAAAAAAAGAGCAGAAGCUAUGACUUAUCCUUCAAGCUUGGCUAGUUAUUUCCCCUGUCACCUCAUCAGGCAGAUAUAUUUAGACCCACCCUUGAAUUAAUAAGUGGUUUCCUGGGAAGGGUGAUUUAAAACUCUGGUGCUUGAAAUUCUGCUAUUAGUCCUGUAAAUUCCUUUAGAUUAAAAGUUAUUUGCUCUCAUGGGGCCUCUGGAAUGCAGUUUCCUCUGGAGUGCAGAUACCUCUGAGUGAAAUAAUGUAUCAGGUCCCUAAUACCUCAGUAUAUAAUUGAGUGUAUUAAAUCGCUUCCUUUGUUAUCUGAUGGGCAAGAUUGGACCCUGGGAAUUUAGAAGGCCAUGGAGAUCCCACUCAACUCAGCCCUGGCCAGCCUUGAAUGUGUACUUUUCUUCUAAGAAAUUCCAAUUGUUAUUGUUUUCCUAGAAGACAAUAAAAAAGACAUCCUGUUGAUGUCUAAAAGAACUGCAAAUGUAAAAAAUAAAAAGUAACAUUUUAAUUCGAUUUCUUUCCCAAGAACCAGAACAUCCUCCUGGCCUAUAACAUAGCCCUCACUUUACCCCUCUGGUGCUGGAGGCUUUUGUGUCUCAUUUUUAUUCGACUCACACAUGUCUGGGGAGAGGGCCCUCUGAGAUUUCAUCUUGGCUGUGCUUCAGGCUCCAUAAUAGGAAUGGAUCCACAUUUUUUAAUACAAGGAGGGCAGGUGGCAGCAAGCCAAAGUGGCCUCUGUGGAGUAUGUGUGCAGGAGUGGUGUUUUUAGUGUGCAUUGAAAAAUCAGGAGCCAGACAAGACAAAAGCCCAUGCUGGCAGUGUGCCCCUAUGAAGGGUAUCUGUACCAAGACUUAAAAAAAAAGGAAAUUAAUGCAUUUUCUUUUCUAUUGAAUUAAGUUCUGUACCAGCUUUUGUUCCUAGGUACACUGUGUGGAGUGUGUGUGUGUGUGUGUGUGUGUGUGUGUGUGUGUGUACAGACAUACACACAGACUAGUUGCUUCCAUAGCUGCCUGAAAAAUCACACAAGCAAGCUAUAGAACUUGAACCCAGAGUGUUAAGUGGGCAACUGAGUGAUCAUCUACAAGUCUUUCAAGAGGAAAGGAAGUAUCAUUGUCUUUGUUAAUAAUUUGUCUCCUUUUGAAGUUUACAAAUAUAUUUGUGUCAACCCAUAAUCCAAGAAUGUUAAUUAAUUGCCUAACUGGAUGAAUCUCUCUAUAAUAUGGAUUUAUUUUAAACACAAGUAGUUAGUAAGAAAUACUAAAAUUGAUUUGGAUGUGCAGUAAGUCCCAUUAUUCUGUGGUAUAGACCACACAUUCGAAAUGCAGUAUCACAUAAUUUCGCUCUCCAUUUCACAAGCCACUGUCCUUCACUGCAUAUAAUAGUGUAGUCCCAGAAGUGUGUAUGUAAGUUAAAUAUUUAAAAAAUAAAAUCAUAAUUUGAGUACUGUAAAAAAUUAAAAUGUUUGUGGCAAAAAUUUCCUUUCUGCAAAGUAUGAAUUAGGCAUGAUAGGGCUAUUGGCUUUGUUUAGCCAUUUUCCUUCUGAGGGUUUAGUUUUUAUAGCCACAAAAUUACAAUGUGAAUUGUAGCUUUGUCCUCCUGGGUUCUAAGAGCUUUUUGGUAGAGUGAAUAAUUACUCUUAACGUGUCCAUCGGCUUUUUAAAAUGUGGAGAUUUUGCUCUGUACUACCUAAGGACAGGUUCUCCUGAAUUGGGACUAACAGGUUGUCUGAAGUCAUCACUCAUUUCCUUUAUUUUUUUGGAAAGAGGCCUAAGGGAUGAGGUUAUGAAAGUGCAUACAAAUCAACAAGAAGACACAGACAGGAAGAAAAGUAGUGACACCUGUCAGCAUUUUCUCCUAGUUUGGUCCUGAAAAGCAGAAGCGGAGUCCUCACAGCUUUGUGCACUGCCUUGUAAGCAUGGGACACACAGCCAUGGGUCACAGCCCAGAGCCCUUCCUGCAAGCCCAGCAGGCCUCUCAGGCAAUCAGUUGAGCUAUAGUUGUGCUGUUUCUCCGCAGGACAGGAGUCUGAACUGUGAGUUUUAGGAAGUGAAUUCACAGGGACAAAGAUGGGCAGGGCUCCCUAGUCUUUACCUUGUGACUUCUCCUCAAGCCCAAAAGUUUCCUGAAUGAGUUUUUUCCUUAGUAUUUCUGUUGUGGGAAAUGAAAGGCCUCUUCCUUUGUGAAUAAAAAUUAAACAAUUUUUUAGUAUUGUCACUUUUGGUGGUAUAAACCCAUUCUUCAGGAAAGGGCAUAUUGGCUAGGAAUAUUUAUUAACAUAUUUUGAAAAGGAUUGACAGCAGAAUAUGACCUACCUCCAAAUCACAAAUUACUCAAUUUCAGAAGCAUAACCAUACCAUUUACAAAAAACAAAUUGGUUUAAUGUCCAUUUUCUAAGCGUUAACUCAAUGUCAGCAGUGUGCUAGAAGUAGAUGAAACCUUUCUUGCCAUAUUUAAUACUCCUGGAUGACUCCUUAGAGUGUGAACUCUAUUUUCCAGAGCCA